rfam:Oryza glaberrima chromosome 5 Oglab05_0050_5, whole genome shotgun sequence.
UUUACAAACCCUGAGUUUCCGUAUCCAACGUUUGACAUCUUAUUUAGAAAAGUUAUGAAAAAAAAUAAAAAGACAAGUCACGCAUAAAAUAUUAAUCAUGUUUUAUCAUCUAACAACAAUGAAAAUACUAAUUAUAAAAAAAUUUCAUAUAAGACGGACAGUCAAACGUUGUACACAUAAAUUCAGGGUUUGUUUUUUU